ensembl:lncRNA
GUACCUGGGAACCUGGGCCCUGGAGAUCAACAAUCUUGGGUUCAAGCCCCGCCCCUGCUUACUAGCUGUGCAACUUUGAGGGUGACUGACUUCAUCUGUAAUGUGGGGCUAAGGCAGCUGCCGCUCUUCCCCCGUCACCCGAUUUCUCGGCCUUUCUGCCAGCACUGACUGGGUGUCAGCCCUGAGUUGGAGCCCUGGUUCUACCACCUGAGAAAGUCAUCGGAUCCAUGGAACCUCAGUUUUCCUCCUCCAUAAAAUGGGGCUAUUGAUAGACAAGCCCUCAUGGGCUGCCCUGAACUCACCUGGGGAUGCUUGGCUCAGGGAGUGGAGAGGCUGGACACUCCAUCCCCGAUCCUCACUGCAGAGAACAGACUCCUGAGCUCCAGAAAGCCUUGGGGACUGACCACAGCUCCCCGAGGAGCUCCUGCAGAGCCUGGAAGUCCAGGGCUGAGGCCUGUUACCGUCACAUCACUGUCUCUGCCUCAGCCUGCACAUGGCUUUCCCCUCUUCUGUGUCCCUGCCUUGUCUCCUCUAAGGACACUUUUGAUGACACGGAGACCCCACCUUGGUAAUCUAGGAUGAUCGGAUCUCAGUAUCCUUGACAUCUACAAAGGACCCUUUCUCCAGAUAAGGUCAUAUCCACAGGUUCCAGGGAUAAAGAUGUGGACUUAUCUUUUGGGGGCCGCCAUUCAACCCGGUGCAACCACGAGCGUUAUCACUGCUGUCAGCAUCCUUACAAACAUCAGUUAAGUACUAAUGUACCAGGCUUAGUCUGGGUGCUUUUCCUGUACCAUCUCCUUUAGUCCUUAAGACAAACUUAGGGCAGGUACUGUUAUUAUCCCCAUUUAAUAAGGACAUCGAGGCUCAGGGAGAAGUGAGCCCUUGUCCAGGGUCUCCCUUGAAACCCAGGCAGUCUGAUUUCAGUGUCUCCUGCCUUGCCAUAGUUACCUUGCUCCACCCCAUCCUGUUUCUGAUCAUACAGAUAAUUCCAUGGCAGAAUCAGUGUGGGACAAUGAGCACCCAAAUGGGUGGCAAGGUGCCUGGGUUCUGAUCUAGGUUCUGCCAUUAGACAGAGGCAGAUGCCAGCCGGGUCUCUUCCCCACUCUGGGCCUCAGUGUGCCCAUUGGUAAAAUCGGAAAGUGGUUGGUUUGGAUAAUCUCCAAGAUCCUCCCAGCUCUUAAGUUCUGUGAUGCUGGGUGUCAUCUGUCAACUUGCUUCUAUUCAAAUGCUGCCCACAGCUCAACUCUCUAAAUCUGCUACCUACUGCCAGAGAUGGGUUUGCUUGGAAGGCUGGCGGAAGGGGGAACAAGUGCUGGUGACAGAGACACGAAGGGUGGUGCUGGCUUCCCUACUUUCCCUCUCUCUUCCCGUACCACCAGGCUGGCAGCACCCUGCUGUGGAAGGACUAGGGGGUGGGGGUACUCUCUUCUCUUGGAGCCCAAGACUUUUGGUCCAUACAUUCAGGGAGGGAUUCCAAAGUUGAGAGCUGUCAUGGUUUUUGGGAACACAGCCCCAGACCCACAGGCUUUAGCCAGAAGCUGGCCCUCACAGUAGGCUCCAGAAAUCAUCUGGGGGCUGGAAA